UACGUAGGUGGCAAGCGUUGUCCGGAUUUACUGGGCGUAAAGAGCGCGCAGGCGGUCGUUCAAGUCGCGUGUGAAAGCCCCCGGCUCAACUGGGGAGGGUCACGCGAUACUGAUCGACUCGAAGGCAGGAGAGGGUAGUGGAAUUCCCGGUGUAGUGGUGAAAUGCGUAGAUAUCGGGAAGAACACCAGUGGCGAAAGCGCUCUACUGGGCCAUACUGACACUGAGGGACGAAAGCUAGGGGAGCGAAAGGG
rnacentral:rRNA from 1 species